rnacentral:rRNA from 1 species
CAGUAGCCGCGGUAAUACAGAGGGUGCAAGCGUUAAUCGGAAUUACUGGGCGUAAAGCGCGCGUAGGUGGUUUGUUAAGUUGGAUGUGAAAGCCCCGGGCUCAACCUGGGAACUGCAUCCAAAACUGGCAAGCUAGAGUACGGUAGAGGGUGGUGGAAUUUCCUGUGUAGCGGUGAAAUGCGUAGAUAUAGGAAGGAACACCAGUGGCGAAGGCGACCACCUGGACUGAUACUGACACUGAGGUGCGAAAGCGUGGGGAGCAAACAGGAUUAGAUACCCCAGUAGUCCCUGUCUCUUAUAC